GGAUGAACGCUGGCGGCGUGCUUAACACAUGCAAGUCGAACGGACUUUACAUGAAGCCUAGCGAAUGUAAAGUUAGUGGCGGACGGGUGAGUAACGCGUGGGUAACCUGCCUCACACAGGGGGAUAACAGUUAGAAAUGACUGCUAAUACCGCAUAAGACCACAGCACCGCAUGGUGCAGGGGUAAAAACUCCGGUGGUGUGAGAUGGACCCGCGUCUGAUUAGCUAGUUGGUGAGGUAACGGCUCACCAAGGCGACGAUCAGUAGCCGACCUGAGAGGGUGUCCGGCCACAUUGGGACUGAGACACGGCCCAAACUCCUACGGGAGGCAGCAGUGGGGAAUAUUGCACAAUGGGCGAAAGCCUGAUGCAGCAACGCCGCGUGAGGGAUGACGGUCUUCGGAUUGUAAACCUCUGUCUUCAGUGACGAAUAAAUGACGGUAACUGAGGAGGAAGCCACGGCUAACUACGUG
rnacentral:rRNA from 1 species